rnacentral:rRNA from 1 species
UGGUUCGAAAUUGAAAGGCGGCUUCGGCUGUCACUUAUGGAUGGACCCGCGUCGCAUUAGCUAGUUGGUGAGGUAACGGCUCACCAAGGCAACGAUGCGUAGCCGACCUGAGAGGGUGAUCGGCCACACUGGGACUGAGACACGGCCCAGACUCCUACGGGAGGCAGCAGUAGGGAAUCUUCCGCAAUGGACGAAAGUCUGACGGAGCAACGCCGCGUGAGUGAUGAAGGCUUUCGGGUCGUAAAACUUCUGUUGUU